AAUAAAACGGAGAAAAAAGAAACCAACCGGGGAUGCCCCAGUAACGGCGAGUGAAGCGGCAACAGCUCAAAUUUGAAAUCUGGCUCCCUUGGGGCCUCCGAGUUGUAAUUUGCAGAGGAGCGAUCGGGAAGCCUGUCAGGCCGAGUCUGCUGGAAGGCAGCGCCAUUGAGGGUGACAGCCCCGUAUCCGGCCGGUGGCGCGCUCCGUGUGAUCGCCCUUCGAAGAGUCGAGUUGUUUGGGAAUGCAGCUCAAAGCGGGUGGUAAAUUCCAUCUAAAGCUAAAUAUUGGCCAGAGACCGAUAGCGCACAAGUAGAGUGAUCGAAAGAUGAAAAGCACUUUGAAAAGAGAGUCAAACAGUACGUGAAAUUGUUGAAAGGGAAGCGCUUGGGGGCAGACUUGGCCGCGGGGUCCCCCGUUCCUUGUCGCGCCUGCAUAUCCCCGCGGAGCAGGCCAGCAUCGGUUCUGGGGGCCGGACAAAGGGGCCGGGAAGGUAGCUCGCUUCGGGCAGUGUUAUAGCCCGGCGCGCAAUGCGGCCACCUGGGACCGAGGACCGCGCUUCGGCAAGGAUGCUGGCGUAAUGGCCUCAUGCGGCCCGUCUUGAAACACGGACCAAGGAGUCUAACAUCUAUGCGAGUGUUUGGGUGGCAAGCCCGGGCGCGCAAUGAAAGUGAACGGAGGUGGGAGCUGUCGUAGGCGCACCAUCGACCGAUCCGGACGUUUUCCGAAGGAUUUGAGUAGGAGCAUAGCUGUUGGGACCCGAAAGAUGGUGAACUAUGCGUGAAUAGGGUGAAGCCAGAGGAAACUCUGGUGGAGGCUCGCAGCGGUUCUGACGUGCAAAUCGAUCGUCAAAUUUGCGUAUAGGGGCGAAAGACUAAUCGAACC
rnacentral:rRNA from 1 species